GUCAUAUUUAUGGACUCUGCCACAAGCCCUUGAGCACUCUGCAUCUGCUCGUGUUCACUGCCUUCUGUUCUUACAUCUAAGUUUAUGCACUCUACAUCUGCACGCUGUGUCUAUUCAUGGGCACUUCCUUCUGUUCACAUAUAUUCCAUGGCUCCGUUCUGCCAGUAAAAAUUCCAGGUCUGUAGGGAAAAUGGGCCAAUCUUCUUUGCUAAGUCCCUCUGCCUUCCUUUAGCUACUCUCUGUCUCUUUCUUUUCUCCCGCCUCCUCUCUUGAUAUCUAUGCUGCCUCAUAUUCCAGACGAUUGUCUUUUCUAUGACGUUAAGUCCAGGCUAGGAAAGUAAAGGGAGAAAGAAGUGCAAGCAAACUUGUCUCCAGGAAUAAAUGGUGGAAUAAAAGUAGAAGAUAGUGUAAGCAUAUCUUUACAGAGUCAAGCAGAGUGGAAGAAGAGAGCCAUCGAUGCUUACCGAACAUCAGGAAGGACAACAAGCUAUGGCACGGAGUAGUGAUAGAUCCCAGGUGUGCUGAAAGAAAUAUUAGGUUGCUACUGCUGCUGUCUGUGUAGGCAACCUAUUUGAAUUCCCACUGCUUGCUUCCAGACAGAAUGUUACAUUGGAAGCUAGGCAAGUGGUCAUUGUUUUGGGCAUACUGGUGGUCAUUGUGCUGUCUAACAAUGUUCUGCUCAGGAAUGUAACAAAUAGAGGGGAUAUUUCUAGCGCAGCCGACAGCUGGCUACUUUUAUAGAACUUGUUCAUCUUUCUUCUCACUCCUUGUUCAUAGAGCUUCUGUUGGAAAUAAAACCACUUUGUAUGUACUGGAAUCAGUUCUUCGGUUUUCACCUUCAGCUCAUGCUCUUUCUCUACAUGCACUUUCUUCAGCUGUGCUCAGUCAUCUUUGCUUUCACACAGCAAAAGCCAAACACACUAAGAUGACAGGGAGAGAUUUUUUUAAAAAAAUAUCCAAGGCUGGUGGUACUAAUUUUGCAAGGGAAAUUAAGCCAAGCUGGAUUUUACUUUCAUAGGCUCUAUCCAAGGUCCUGAUCCUUGUCCCCAAAAUAAGUUCCAGCACAUUGGAUAGCUCCUAUUUAAAAAACUCUAACCCAAACAGCCCAAAAAUCAGGGCUAUCAGCUUCUCCUGUUCUAAUGAAAGAAUUUGCCAUUUGCAAAGCAUGUUAGGGUGUUGAAAUAUAUUUUUGGAUGGAAACAGAUGUAAAAUUUUAUAUAUUUUGCUAGGUUUCUGAUUUCCCCUCCAGAUAAUAAUAAUAUACUCUUUAAUAUUUACAGAGUAUCUCGGAGCUGGACAUUAUUUAGCCUAUCAUUUGCUAUUCAGCACUGCCAGAACAGGGGGUUUCUUGUCCUAAUGAUUAUUGCUCUUUUUCUUUAUUUUAAGUAGAUCCACAAAAUAUUUGUCCUGCUGUUGGGGAUAUACCAGUUUUUAUCUUCCCAGUAUGAUCCAUGUCCACCAGAGG
rnacentral:lncRNA from 1 species